UAGCCUAAUCUACUUAGAAACUAUAGGCCAG
rnacentral:piRNA from 1 species